UCUUCUCUCUCUCUCUCGCUCUACGACUCAAGAACAUCAUGCCAGAUCUCUCAUCAGAUGCCGUUUCAUGACAAGAUCGUUGAAGGUCUGCAACCUUUGUUCUAGGAAUCUUGAAAAUCUUUCGUUAUUACAAUUUUCUGUAAUCAUUGUGACCACUACCGGUUGUAAUGCAGUGGUUCCGACACCCGAGCUCUGGUGGAGGAGACUAGGGUUUCGGCGAAGAUAAAGCCAUCGGAGGCUGAACCACCGGUGCAGGUAUCAUCUUCAUCAUCUAAACUAUCAUUGUUGGGAACAUGGAUGCCGUUUAUUGUUUACAAUUAGAUCCAUUGGCAGCUAUUGAACCAUCUUUCUUCAAGGUGAGAACAAGUUUAUCCUAUAACUUCUUAUUUUUGUUCCACCAAACAUUCUAUUUUUGUUCCAGCAAACAUUCUUAUACUUGUAAAUUGGAGGUUGAAAACCCAAUUAAUUGAGAUGUACGAUAGAUUACGGGUCGGAGCAGUUGCAGGCGGAACAUAUCCAUCAAUUGGAGUGGAUACAACCUGGUUAAGAAACAGGGCUCGAAGGGAAUGUAUGUAGAUUCCAUGAGGUUGUUGGGGCUGUGGGGUGUGAGAGGCGGAAAGUCUUAUUUGGAGUGACCAGGAAUGACGCUACGGUGGUGGUAGUCUUGGACGAGAUCUCCCAACAAGUCUUUUGGCCUGAGGAUCUUCGGAGGCCAUUUGGACACUUUGGUCCUUUAAAGGACAUUUACUUGCCAAGGGAUUAUUAUAGCGGGAAAUAGAGGCUGUAAGGAACAAUUUGAUGCCCUUAAAGAAAAAGUAGUGUUUGGGGCAGACAUGGGAACCGAGAGGUUGGGUAUGGAAGCUAUCAAGGCGGAGAUGGAAUCUUGAAUUGGGGUGAAGAUCGACGUUUCGACGAAAUGCGUAGUAAUUUUGGCAAAUUGGCUGUUUUCUGGAUUUUUCAGGCUAUAAGGGUUUGGACUUUGGACAGUAAGUCUACCUGUGACAAUUGUCAAUGCGAGUGACUCAGAUCCCGAUAUUGAAGCAUGAGACAUAAUCGGGUGGAUUAUGUGGUCUAUUGGCAUCUCAAUUAUUGCUUCUUUUUAUUAGCGGGAUACCAUUGAUCGAGGAGUCUGGAGAUAAAAAGUAUGGAAACGUGGCGGGAUACCGACACUAUAAAAAGACUACAAGUCCUCGGAUUCCACUGCCUCAAUGGAAGCUUGCCGUCUUGGGUCAAAGCUGCUUUCUAUUUGAGCUUCCAUUGUAUAAUCGAAAUCUUCCUAAAGAAGAAGCAUUGGGCUGAAGUGAGGGACGUCGAGCACGGCUUGGGGAGGACGAAGAUGACGCGGCGCGGCAGGAGGUGGCGGUGUAGCUGGCCCUCGACGUGGCUCGCCGUCCCGGGGACAAGCCCCACACCCAUUAGCCAUAGCUUCAGCAACAUGUUUCAAUCACCUAACAUGGGAUCUAUUCUUCUUCUUUACACUUGUGACACUACAAACCAUAUAGCAUGCAGAUUCACUGACACAUACACAUACAACACAAACGUCAAUACACAUACAUUGUACAUGAACCAAAAGGUCAAAGCUAAACAAUGGCAGGCCUCUUUCUCUUCCACAAUGGACAACAUUGGUAUUCCAACAAGAGUCCGACUGCAGCAUGCGGAUGUCUGAAGUAGCGAGCGCGGCGCAGCAAUCGCAGGGUUCCUACUUUAUAGAAAGACGAAAUUGGAUUUUGUAGAAGAUGAAUUGUUGUACUUGAUUUGUAUAUUUUACAGUUGAAUUGUAAAAGAUGAACUGGGCUGGAUGUUUAAGAGUUGCACUGCAGUAAAAAAAAAUCGAAUAUGAAUUGUUUU